UACGUAGGUGACCAGCGUUGUCCGGAUUUACUGGGCGUAAAGAGCGCGCAGGCGGUCGUUCAAGUCGAGUGUGAAAGCCCCCGGCUCAACUGGGGAGGGUCAUUCGAUACUGAUCGACUUGAAGGCAGGAGAGGGAAGCGGAAUUCCCGGUGUAGUGGUGAAAUGCGUAGAUAUCGGGAGGAACACCUGUGGCGAAAGCGGCGCACUGGACCACAACUGACGCUGAGGCGCGAAAAGCUAGGGGAGCCAAACAGGG
rnacentral:rRNA from 1 species